GCGUGCAUGAAUCUGGUGCACG
rnacentral:miRNA from 11 species